rnacentral:rRNA from 1 species
GACGAACGCUGGCGGCGUGCUUAACACAUGCAAGUCGAACGAAGUGGCGAACGGGUGAGUAACGCGUAGGUAACUGCCUGGUAGCGGGGGAUAACUAUUUGAAACGAUAGCUAAUACCGCAUACUACCAGAUGGACCUGCGUUGGAUUAGCUAGUUGGGGGGGUAACGGCUCACCAAGGCAACGAUACAUAGCCGACCUGAGAGGGUGAUCGGCCACACUGGGACUGAGACACGGCCCAGACUCCUACGGGAGGCAGCAGUAGGGAAUCUGCGGCAAUGGACGGAAGUCUGACCGAGCAACGCCGCGGGAGUUAAGAAGGUUUUCGGAUCGUAAAGCUCUGUUGUAAGAGAAGCGGUAUCUUACCAGAAAGGGACGGCUAACUACGUGCCAGCAGCCGCGGUAAUAC